rnacentral:rRNA from 1 species
UACAGAGGUGGCAAGCGUUGUUCGGAAUUAUUGGGCGUAAAGGGCGCGUAGGCGGUUUGUUAAGUCGGUUGUGAAAGCCCGGGCUCAACCCCGGAGAGUCGGACCGAUACUGGCAGACUAGAGUACGGAAGAGGUAACUGGAAUUCCCGGUGUGAGCGGUGAAAUGCGUAGACUAGUCGGGAGGAACACCUGAGGCGAAGGCGGGUUACUGGGCCGA